AACGAACGCUGGCGGCAGGCUUAACACAUGCAAGUCGAACGCCCCGCAAGGGGAGUGGCAGACGGGUGAGUAACGCGUGGGAACGUACCUUUCAGUUCGGAAUAACUCAGGGAAACUUGUGCUAAUACCGGAUACGCCCGCAAGGGGAAAGAUUUAUCGCUGAAAGAUCGGCCCGCGUUGGAUUAGCUAGUUGGUGGGGUAAAGGCCUACCAAGGCGACGAUCCAUAGCUGGUCUGAGAGGAUGAUCAGCCACACUGGGACUGAGACACGGCCCAGACUCCUACGGGAGGCAGCAGUGGGGAAUAUUGGACAAUGGGCGCAAGCCUGAUCCAGCCAUGCCGCGUGUGUGAUGAAGGCCUUAGGGUUGUAAAGCACUUUCACCGAUGAAGAUAAUGACG
rnacentral:rRNA from 1 species